GGGGUGUUAAGUUAAGAAGACUGUAGUAUUUCAAGUAUUAAAGUGAAACGGGGUUCCACACUUCG
rnacentral:tRNA from 2 species